UAUAUGCUGGUGUAAAGAGCACGUAAAGGUUUGAUCUUUAAAGAAGUGGUGUGAUUCCAUUGUGUAUAA
rnacentral:tRNA from 1 species